UACGUAGGGGGCAAGCGUUGUCCGGAUUUAUUGGGCGUAAAGAGCGUGUAGGCGGCCAAGCAGGUCCGCUGUGAAAACUCGAGGCUCAACCUCGAGACGUCGGUGGAAACCGUUUGGCUAGAGUCCGGAAGAGGAGAGUGGAAUUCCCGGUGUAGCGGUGAAAUGCGCAGAUAUCGGGAAGAACACCCGUGGCGAAGGCGGCUCUCUGGGCCUUACCUGACGCUGAGGAGCGAAAGCGUGGGGAGCGAACAGG
rnacentral:rRNA from 1 species